CCUACGGGUGGCAGCAGUGAGGAAUAUUGGUCAAUGGACGAGAGUCUGAACCAGCCAAGUAGCGUGAAGGAUGACUGCCCUAUGGGUUGUAAACUUCUUUUAUAUGGGAAUAAAAUGUUCCACGUGUGGGAUUUUGUAUGUACCAUAUGAAUAAGGAUCGGCUAACUCCGUGCCAGAAGCCGCGGUAAUACGGAGGAUCCGAGCGUUAUCCGGUUUUAUUGGGUUUAAAGGGAGAGUAGGUGGAUUGUUAAGUCAGUUGUGAAAGUUUGCGGCUAAACCGUGAAAUUGAAGUUGAAACUGGCAGGCUUGAGUACAGUAGAGGUGGGCGGAAUUCGUGGUGUAGCGGUGAAAUGCUUAGAUAUCACGAAGAACUCCGAUUGAGAGGGCAGCUCACUGUACUGCAACUGACACUGAGGCUCGAAAGUGUGGGUAUCAAACAGGAUUAGAUACCCCAGUAGUC
rnacentral:rRNA from 1 species